GGAGGGUGCUAGCGUUGUUCGGAAUUACUGGGCGUAAAGGGCGCGUAGGCGGCCUGGUCAGUCGGAUGUGAAAGCCCGGGGCUCAACCCCGGAACGGCAUCCGAGACGGCCAGGCUGGAGACCGGGAGAGGAGAGUGGAAUAGCCAGUGUAGAGGUGAAAUUCGUAGAUAUUGGCUGGAACACCGGUGGCGAAAGCGGCUCUCUGGCCCGGUUCUGACGCUGAGGCGCGAAAGCGUGGGGAGCAAACAGGAUUAGAUACCCUGGUAGUCCACGCCCUAAACGAUGUGUGCUGGGCGUUGGGGGGCUUGCCCCUCGGUGCCGGAGCUAACGCGGUAAGCACACCGCCUGGGGAGUACGGCCGCAAGGUUA
rnacentral:rRNA from 1 species